rnacentral:rRNA from 1 species
UACGUAGGGUGCAAGCGUUAAUCGGAAUUACUGGGCGUAAAGCGUGCGCAGGCGGUUUUGUAAGUCUGUCGUGAAAGCCCCGGGCUCAACCUGGGAAUGGCGAUGGAGACUGCAAGGCUUGAAUCUGGCAGAGGGGGGUAGAAUUCCACGUGUAGCAGUGAAAUGCGUAGAGAUGUGGAGGAGCACCGAUGGCGAAGGCAGCCCCCUGGGUCAAGAUUGACGCUCAUGCACGAAAGCGUGGGGAGCAAACAGG